AAAUGAAUUGACGGGGACCCGCACAAGCAGCGGAGCAUGUGGUUUAAUUCGAAGCAACGCGAAGAACCUUACCAAGGCUUGACAUCCCUCUGACAGCCCCUUAACCGGGGCCUCCUUCGGGCAGAGGUGACAGGUGGUGCAUGGUUGUCGUCAGCUCGUGUCGUGAGAUGUUGGGUUAAGUCCCGCAACGAGCGCAACCCUUGCCGUUAGUUGCCAUCAUUAAGUUGGGCACUCAAACGGGACUGCCGGGGACAACUCGGAGGAAGGUGGGGAUGACGUCAAAUCAUCAUGCCCCUUAUGUCUUGGGCUACACACGUGCUACAAUGGCCGGCACAGAGAGACGCGAAGCCGUGAGGCGGAGCCAACCUCAAAAACCGGCCCCAGUUCGGAUUGCAGGCUGAAACCCGCCUGCAUGAAGCCGGAGUUGCUAGUAAUCGCGGAUCAGAACGCCGCGGUGAAUGCGUUCCCGGGUCUUGUACACACCGCCCGU
rnacentral:rRNA from 1 species